rnacentral:lncRNA from 1 species
AUUUUGCCUGUGAUAUUUAAGCCAUAAUCGAUUAACCGUUGAAUGAAACAUAUAAACUCACCUCAGAUGAACCCAGAGAUGAACCAGAUGAAGGCACAGAUGAACCCAGAGAUGAACACACCACUUUCAGAUGAAUAACCUCUACGUUAAUGAAGCCCCUAACACACACUAUGACUUACGAAUCUCUCCAACUACACACUCUAUGCUUCGCUCUCUUUGCUUAGGCUUCGCUUAUCUGUGAAUUGUGAAUGGAGGAAGCAACGUUUAUAAAGAAACCAGGAAUCCCACACACCUACCUCUCACCCACUUCAUUGAUGAGGUUUCAAACUUUCAAAUGGUCAAUAGAUUCCUGAACCAAGUCAGGAAUCUCAUGCUUUUCAUUUGGCAUGCAUGCAGAGGCACUGUGCUUCUUGAAUCCAACAAAAAAGUAAGGGCGAGAUUGGAAAUUCGUGGUGAUGAUUUGGCACUUGCACUGCACAGUGAAACUUUCUCUUCAUCUUUCAGAAGAAACACCAUUCACUCAACUUUCUCUUUCGCUGCACCCUCACCCGCAACAAAGCAUGGAACCAAACGGGGUGGUGUUGUGACUUCCGUCGUCGACAACAGUACCACCCCUGGAUCCAAA